UAGUCUCGCACAGAUGCAUAUCAAUAAGCGGAGGAAAAGAAACUAACAAGGAUUCCCCUAGUAACGGCGAGUGAAGCGGGAAGAGCUCAAAUUUGAAAUCUUAAAGGGUUUCCCUUUACGAAUUGUGGUUUAAAGAAGUGUUUUCUGUUGAGGUUUUGGUAAAAGUUCUUUGGAAUAGGACAUCAUAGAGGGUGAGAAUCCCGUAUUUGACCUUUACUUUCAACUUUGUGAUACACUUUCAAAGAGUCGGAUUGUUUGGGAAUGCAGUCCAAAAUGGGUGGUAAAUUUCAUCUAAAGCUAAAUAUUGGCGAGAGACCGAUAGCGAACAAGUACCGUGAGGGAAAGAUGAAAAGAACUUUGAAAAGAGAGUUAAACAGUACGUGAAAUUGUCAAAAGGGAAGCGUUUGACACCAGUGUUGUUUUUCUGAAAAUCAAUUAAAGAACUGUUUAUGCUAAGUUGUUUAGACUUUAUCAGCUAUCUGUUUAGUUUUGAGCUUUUCUUUAAUAGCACUUUUCAGUUAACAAGUCAACAUCAAUUUCUUUUGCUGUAAAAAAGCUUGAGGAAGGUGGCUUGAGAUUCGUCUUAAGUGUUUAUAGCCUCUUGCCUAUGCAGUCGGAGAGAUUGAGGUCUGCAGCGUAGAUCCUUCGGGGCUAAAUGCAUUUGUGCUAAGUUAUAGCAUUUUAUAGACAACUUGUUGACUAUGAUUUGUCUUGUAGCUUACUCGCUUAUGUUAUUUUACCUACGCUUAGGAUGUUGACGCAUGAGAUAUACGC
rnacentral:rRNA from 1 species